GACGGGAGGUACGGGCGUUAUUCGUUCUGAUUGGGUGUAAAGGGUGUGUAGGCGGCGAGCUCGGCGGACUAGACCAAAAUGGCGAAGUAUUCCUGUGCACUAGGUCUUUUCAGUUGACUCGCUAGAGUUGGGGUGAGGUUGGAACAAUUUCCCAUGAUAAGGGUCAAAUCUUGCUAGAUGGGAACGAAUGCCAGGGCGGAGGCGUCUUUCUAUCCUCAACUGACGCUCAAACACGUAAGCUUGGGGAGCAAACAGG
rnacentral:misc_RNA from 1 species